UACGGAGGGGGCUAGCGUUGUUCGGAAUUACUGGGCGUAAAGGGCGCGUAGGCGGCCUGUCAAGUCGGACGUGAAAUCCCCUCGGCUCAACCGGGGGAACUGCGUCCGAUACUGGCGGGCUUGAAUUCGGGAGAGGGAUGUGGAAUUCCAGGUGUAGCGGUGAAAUGCGUAGAUAUCUGGAGGAACACCGGUGGCGAAGGCGGCAUCCUGGACCGACAU
rnacentral:rRNA from 1 species